UACGUAGGUGGCAAGCGUUAUCCGGAAUUAUUGGGCGUAAAGCGCGCGCAGGUGGUUCUUUAAGUCUGAUGUGAAAGCCCCCGGCUCAACCGGGGAGGGUCAUUGGAAACUGGGGAACUUGAGUAUAGAAGAGGAAAGUGGAAUUCCACGUGUAGCGGUGAAAUGCGUAGAUAUGUGGAGGAACACCGAUGGCGAAGGCAGCCCCCUGGGCUAGUACUGACGCUCAUGCACAAAAGCGUGGGGAGCAAACAGG
rnacentral:rRNA from 1 species